CACCAGGAGGUCAUGGGCUGGGAAACUCUCAAUGCCUUCUUUGCUUAUUAUACCAAUUCAUAGAAAAGCAGAUCUUUCCCUGCAUGGAAUAAUUAAUUAUGUGGCUGAGUACAACUGAUACUAUUCUCAAAGAUGAACUUUUUUGUCUCCAAACUUCUUGAUACACAUGGAUUAAAUGCUAUUCACAGAGCAUCCAGAGCUUUGCUUUGAAGACAACAGGAAGGAGCAUAAGUGCUCACACAGCAUGCUGGCAAGUGUAUUUACAGAACCCUCAUCCUGAGAUGUGAUCAUUGCUUCUCUUAGGCCUGGAAAACAAAUCUCGCCUCCACUCUGCAGUCCAACCCACAGCUACAGCAGUGUUGGACCUUUUGCUGCCGAGAUGGGGUAGCAAGAUACUGGAAAAUUUGACAAAAUGAAAACAGUGUAUGUUCUUGUUACUGGUGUCUUUUAGGUUAGAAAAUUUGAUAGUCAUGGCUUGUUUCUUGGCUGUGGCCUUGAAUAUAGCUUAUACAGCUAUGGCCAGAAAAAAUGAAGCUCAUGGAUAUUCCUGCUACCCUCCAAGAGGAAAAUUCAUUCAGAUAUGAUGACCAUGCCAGUGCAGGGCUCCUGUGUUUGGUUAUUCAGAGGUGUCUCUGCAUGGCACAGAGUUUUGCUGUGCAGCCCUAGCCUCACUGCUACAUACACCUUAUUACUUAUUGAGAAUAAACUGCAUCAAAGCAACAGUGGGAGGAUUUUAGUAAUGUUAUUUACAUUUAUUUAACACCAUUUACCUGUGAAUUUCAAAUAGCCUUAUGCUCAAGAAUUAAUUUAGCCUCAAAGACAAGAAUUAAGUCAAGUAUUGACCUUCCUAUUUGAUAGGCAAGGAGGUCUGAGAUUCCUUCUUGUAUGCUCAGUUUUUCAAAAGUAUUUAUCUUGUACCUUCUUGUUGAAUUAACAUGAAUCAUAGGACACCGAAAAGAAGUAUCUGAGGCAAUGUAGACUCUACACACCUGCUACAUGUGUUCCUUUGGUUAUAGGGCUCUUCCUCCCUGCCAUAUACCAGACAAAACCAGUACAUGCCAGGCAAACCCUUUUGUCCUUGGCAAAUGGUUUUGCACCAGCUUGGGAGUUCAUACCAAACUUCCAUUUCCUGCAGUCACAGGUCAAAUCUCUGCUUUCAAUAGCAAUACUUAGCCAUGAUUCAUAUUUUAAAAACCCAUCAAAAUCAAAGAACAGGAUCCAAAUGAACUUUAGAGUCAGAACCCAAACAAAACUCCAAAAUGGGACCAAGCCAGUUGCAGGAUUUCUGAGCUUUGGUGAGAAAGGAAAUAGAAAUUGCAUUGCUGCAGACAAGCACUAAGAGCCCAAGGUUCACCCACCCAAGGGGCAUCAAAACCUUUUGCAGCAUGUGAGCAACAGAGACUCUCCCUCUGUCUGGGCUUGAUGGGUUGCAGAGGAAAGUUUCCAUGGGACGAGCAACAGAGGGGCUGGUGCAGCUCAGCUCUGGGCAAGAGGACUUUUUCUUCAAGAGAGUGUACAUGACAGUGCCACUCACCCCUUGUCCUCUGAAUUCCCUGACACUUUCUUCAUCACUUUUGCCCCUCUGUUCAGUAAAAUGCUGGCUAGUGGUUAAAAUGUGCAGUAGCCCAGUGCAGCUCUUUUAGACAGCUUGGCUUGUCUUUUGUGUGUGUGUGGUAUCCCCCUGGACACGUCCCAGGUGCACUUCAAGGGCAGUUUUAUGUUAUAGUCAAAGAGAUGAGAAGCCAGAUGUGAAAUAAGCUUCAUGCUUCCUAGGAAAACUGACUGCAGGGAGUUUCCAAAUUAGAUGCUAGAAAGCAGUUGUCAAGGACCACACAGAUUUUUCAAAAAAUUGGCUUUUUCUGUUAAAAAAAUUAAAAAUCCCCAAUUCAAUUUAUGAUGUCCUCAGAGCAAAACUGAAGUAAUAGAGCUCAACCAGCUCUAUACUGAGUUGACUGGUUUGUUACCAGUCAAUAAUUUUCAAAUAACUAAACAAAACUUUAUGCAAACACACAGACAUACAAAUUCUCCCUUGCAGAUAAAAAGCUGAAAUCUCUCCUCCUGCAGAUUUUCAUCAAAAAUCAUAUGCAGCACAGGAGGGCUGUUUGCCCCAGGCUUUAGAGUAAAAAAAAAAAGAAAGAAAUGCCUGAAUAUAUUGCUACAUUAUAAUAUGUUAAUGCACUGUAUUUGAUUAUCUGGUGCUAUUCUUAGGAUAAAUACAGAAUUAAGUGGAUGAGAUUCUAUGGUCUGUAUUAAAUAGAAGGUCAGAUUUGAUAAUCUACUGGUUGCUUCAGACCCUAAUCUGCAGAUGAAUCUUUGUAGAGCUGUGCUUUGCUCCUGACUUCAUUCCUCCAUCAAUAGGCUAAGCACUUCUUCCCCAUACAUUAACAUUAAUGAGAUUUUCAGACAUUUAGAGUAAGGAGAAAAAUGUAGCCUUAGUAUUUGCAAUUACCAAUGAGUUUGUACUACAUUAAAUUCAUUUAGAAGAUUACACUUGUGCAUUUUCAAGUGGCACUUUCCUCUUGUUCUUUUUAACAUGGAAAAAAAAUGAAGAAAUGACAUAAAAGCUACAUUUACUAAGUAUACAGCAACACUCCAGGGUGAGCUGUGCAUGUGCUCUGGCCUGCCUGGGGGCACACAGAAUGCAUAUCAAAUAACAAUGCAACAGUAGAAGGGGAUUGUCUAGUUCCCAGCAAUGACAGCACCAUUUGGUACGGCUGAUGGAUGAAGGGCCAUGUAGGAAAUAGAAAGCUCAACUUCCUUUUUAUUCUAUCCUGCUGACUUAAGUUUACUAAAACAAAAAAGAGAAAAAAUGCCAAUCUAGUGACUAUCUUAGAACAAUGCCAAGUGUAUCAAAGUCCAUUUCUUCUGCAGCUGACUAACACACCUGAUGCACCCUGGAAGAGCUGAUGUACUUGCUUCCCCCAGGGACACAGAGUGCUGCUGGCUGUCCUCAAGGUUUGAUGGGAACAGCCCUCUUGCUGAAGGAGUGGAUGAUAGGAAAGGUCAGAUAAAGCACCUCAGAGCCUUUAAUGGAAUCCUGAAAGAACCACCAAACUCUCCUUGGCACAGAGGAGAUGCUCUGUGUCCCCUAGAGUCUGCAGCACCACGGAAGUUACAGGCAAGGCUUUUAAGCCACAUAACAAUUUCACUCCUGAAGCUGGUGAGGGGAACUGGGAAAACAGUAAUUUUAAAUGAGACUGGAAAUACAUUUGUUUAAACUGGAGGUCCAUUUGGCCAGGGAAAAAGUGCAAAUGUGCUCACAGCUAAUGAGGACAAAAUGCCCCACAAAUUUAAGCAGCCAGAGAGAAGAUCCAAGGAACAGAUAUCUUUAAACCCAUGGACUGUGAAGAAAAAGACAUACAAUGAGAGUCAUGGACUGUCUUCCCCCAAAGCUGUAACAGAUGUGGCUACAGCAGAGUUGUGAGUGUGCAGCUGCUGCCUGGACACUGAUGGCUGUGCCUGUGCUCAUUACCAGAGGUCCCUGCUGACCCCUCUGUUCUAGAAGCCACAAAGCUGUAAAGCGGGACAGAGAAGAAGGGCAUGUCAAGAUCAAAGCUGUCCUUCCUUUUCUGAUGCAGCAACCAAGUCGAACAGUGAAGCAACAUGAGCAGCAGGAGACUUCUGAGCGCAGUGGCAUUGAAAGAAGAUAGAGAAAAAAGUUGUCUGGGGACACUCUGAUUCCAGAAACUUCUCAUUGCCAUCAGUCCCAAAGUAACAGCAAGGGAGGAAAGUCCAGCACACUGUGCUCAUGUCGUCUGUUCAGUGGAAGGUAAGAGGCUGGAAGUAGGAGUGCUGAUGCCUGCCAUGUAUAACCCUGCUGUAAGCUCUGCCCUGUGAGCUUUGCAGAAUUCUGUCUGACUGGAUGGUGCCAAGGUCCAGAAGAGAUGGAGGAGAGCUAAUCUCACCCUCCCAGCAGGCUUCUCCUGGAGGCAAAGAGAACGGACAUAAGUCUGCUUUCCCUGUUGGCCACUGACACCUCUUCCCAAAUGGCAACAUUGCACCCACUGUGCCAGCUCCACACAGACAACAACCACCAUUCUCUGGAUCCAACCAUCAGGCCCUUGCUGGAAACUUCCAGUGCUCCUGGGUUCCUCUGCAUGCUCAGCACAUAAAGUAAAAGAACAGAAAAUACACCUAGGUAAUCUUCUUUAAAUCCUGACAAGCCUAGGGUGAUUUGGUUGCAUUUUUAAGCAUCUGACUUGCUACAUUAAUUCUUCUUACAUCAGAGCCUGAGGACAAUGUUUGAAGUCCCUUUCGUCAGCCAUUCAAGACAACUGGAAGGAUUCAUGUCCUCUUGUCUGCAGCUCUGGAGAGAGAAGGACCACCUGGGCAGAGACAAACUGCUGGUUCACCCAGGCUAUUUCCAGAAGAAGAGAACACUUGCCAAGAUUAACUGAGAAAACCUGAACUGCUCAGCAGCCAGCUAAGCUAUGAAGAGCCUGCACAUCAGUCUAACAAUAUUUUUUGUUCCAUCUUCACCCACUGCAGACAGGAUUGGGCCCCUCCCAUUCUCCAGUCCCCACUUUGUUGUUGUGGAUCAACUGAGAUCAAUAAAUCUCAGGGGCACAACUCAGGGGCACCUCAAGGUACUGCCUGUCAGAAGUACUAUGAGAUCUCUCAGCUCCCUGUGGUGAGGUGGUGGAGUCCACUAAAACAUGGGCAUAUUUUAGCUAUGACCAGCCUCUUUAGGGACUGAAGGCAAUAGAUAUAUAUUCAAUGGGAGUAAAUGCUUAUUCCCUAACAAAGCUCAGAUAAACUGCAGAGGGAUCUGCAGGUGCUGGCAGGAUGGAUAACUUCUCCUGAAGCUGCAUCUGGAGCCACUAGAGCAGAUCAAGGUCUGGGAUAAAAAUAACUCUCAGCACUUAUCUGGUAUUUUUUCAAUCUGCAAACUUGAAAGCAUCAUCCUCAUUUUCCAGAUGUGAGAAGCCAACCACAAAGAACCAGUUCAGUGUUGCUGCAUUCUUCUAUCGGCUUCACAAGCUGAACCUCAUCCUCUUCCAACACCUCUGUCCAAGAGUAACUGACAGGUUUAAGACAACUAAUGCUAUCAGCACUUUCAAUUUUCUGUCAUCUUGCCUUUUUCUUUAGAGGGGAAAUGGGGCUUAUUUUUCAGCCCUGGUUCCUGGCAUUGCUCUGGGAGAACUUCAGAACAAGAUAUAUCUCAAAAUAUUUGUCCUCCAUGGUCCUUUAUGUUACAGAAAGGUUAAGUAAAGGGACUAAACCAGAGACUCAAGAUUCAGACUGAGAAACUGUGGCAGUAAAGAAUGCUGGAAUCAGCAGAUUACAGGUAUUUCAAGCAUUCAGUUUAGGCUUACACCUUUCCAUCCUUGUCAUUAAUUCUCUGAACAACACUGGGGAGAUUCACCUUUGGGUGUAACCUCCAUAGCAAGUUGGUGUCUACAAGAAAUCAGUAGCAGACAUUUGGCACUGCCCAAUGCAAAAUGUUUAGCAUGUUCUGCAGUAAUACAUAUAGCUUUCUUUUUAUCGAAACAACUGUCUUAAAUGCCACUGAGAUGUCACAGAAAAUCAAGUCAGAGCAUUCCAAGAUGUACCAGGAUUUAAAAAACCCACUUGAAGUACAAAAUAGAAGGGUUGCAUGUGUUUGUCUGUUUUUCUAAUUUAAUAAUAUGAGUUUGCCACAGCCCUGAAAAUCAACUUGUAUGUUACUGAAAAGAAAAACCAAACCAUAAAGUUCACUGAUCUGUAAAG